rnacentral:rRNA from 1 species
UACGUAGGGUGCAAGCGUUGUCCGGAAUUAUUGGGCGUAAAGAGCUCGUAGGCGGUCUGUCGCGUCUGCUGUGAAAACUCAGGGCUUAACCCUGAGCUUGCAGUGGGUACGGGCAGACUAGAGUGCGGUAGGGGAGACUGGAAUUCCUGGUGUAGCGGUGAAAUGCGCAGAUAUCAGGAGGGAACACCGGUGGCGAAAGGCGGGUCUCUGGGCCGUAAC